rnacentral:rRNA from 1 species
GCCUGUUUAUUAAAAACAUGUCUUUUUGAUUAUAAUUUAAAGUCUAACCUGCCCAAUGAGGAGUUAAAUGGCCGCGGUAUUUUGACCGUGCAAAGGUAGCAUAAUCAUUAGUUUUUUAAUUGAAAGCUGGUAUGAAUGGUUGGACGAGAAAAUAGCUGUCUCAAUUUAAAUUGAAUUAGAAUUUUAUUUAUGAGUAAAAAAGCUCAUAUAAGUUUAAAAGACGAGAAGACCCUAUAGAAUUUAAUAUACAUAUUUAUAUAUUAUUUUUAGAAUUAAUAAUAAGUUAUACAUAUUUAUAUUUUGUUGGGGUGAUAGAAAAAUUUAAAUAACUUUUUUUAUAUAAAAACAUUAAUGUAUGAAAAAAUGAUCCGUUAAUUACGAUUAUAAGAUUAAAUUACCUUAGGGAUAACAGCGUAAUUUUUUUUUAGAGUUCUUAUCGAAAAAAGAGUUUGCGACCUCGAUGUUGGAUUAAAAUUAACUUUUGGUGUAGGGGCUGAAAGGUUAGGUCUGUUCGACCUUUAAAAUUUUACAUGAUCUGAGUUCAGACCGG